rnacentral:rRNA from 1 species
UACGUAGGGGCCUAGCGUUGUCCGGAAUCAUUGGGCGUAAAGAGCUCGUAGGCGGCUUGGCAAGUCGGAUGUGAAAUCCCCGUGCUCAACGCGGGGCGGCCAUCCGAUACUGCCAUGGCUAGAGUCCAGUAGGGGAGUGUGGAAUUCCCGGUGUAGCGGUGAAAUGCGCAGAUAUCGGGAGGAACACCAGCGGCGAAGGCGGCACUCUGGGCUGGUACUGACGCUGAGGAGCGAAAGCGUGGGGAGCGAA